CUCCGCCUCUUCGUCCCUCUUCCUCUCUCGAUCUCUCUACACAGUGAGAAGAUACAGAUACUCAAAAUCCUGAAAAAAACAAGAUCGAAGGAAUCUUCUUCUUCUUUUUCCUUAUUCUUCUUACGUUCUUUGUUUUUAUGCUUCUCAGAAUGAAAUUUUUUUCAUAUCAAUUAAGAAGAAAAUCUAGGGUAUCAGUCGAAGAACGAGAAGAUUCGAAUGAGGUUUGAAUGGAUCUGAAAUUGAAGAUGGGUUUGAUUCAGAUGAGGUUUUCGGUUUUGUGGAUUGUGAAAUGAAGUUGAGGAUAUGUAUCUUAUCUUACAGGAAAGAAAGAGAAGAGAUUGAUGUUGCUACUGUUAAACAGAUGAAAUUAGGAAUUAGGGUUCCUUCAUCUGUUGUUGCUGAUAAUUUGAGAGGGGUUUCGUGGAAUCAAAAUUUGUAGCUGUUAUGGUUGAAGAUCGAAGAUGGAGGUUCUAGUGUUUGCCACUGUUAAAGGAAGAACAGAUUGAUGAAGAAAUUGAGUUCAAAGAGAAAAGAAGAUGAGGUUGAAUUCAGAGGUUUGUGCUAAAGGGUUCUGCUGGAUUUGUUUUGAAUCUCAGGGUUCAUGACAGAAAACAAGAUGGGUUAUGCUGUUGCGGUAGAGAUGGGAGCAAGAAGCUAGUUAUGGAUGGGUCUGAGCUAAAACAGAUGAUGGUGACCAUGGCAAGCUGCAAUGGACUGAAAUAGAUGUAUGUGUAGGAUGCAGUUGCAGGUAGAAGCUUGUGUGUUUUGGGAGCAGAAGCUGAUGCUGUUGGUAGAAUGAGAUGUUGCAGUACAGCUGAGAUGAAAUGAGUGGUUAUUGGUGGGUUGUUGAAUGCCUGAGAUGCUGCUGCUGCGAAGAAUAGCUUAAGGAAAUGGUCGCAGUCAUGAUGAAGCUGACUUGGAAUUGCAGGUGCAAGCUGGAAUGUGAUGGCAGUUGUGGUUGAUGCUGAACUGAAGUGCAGGAAAUGGGUUGUGCAGGCAUGAAGGGAAGGUGGCAGUAAUACUGGAGGGCUGCGAAUUGAUGUCGGACUUGAAUGUUACAGGGAAGAAAUGAUGUUGGUGUUGAUGUCGUUGCUGUUAAGGCACUCAGAUGCGAGCUGAUGCUGAUUGAUUUGUGUUUGCUAAUCAUGAUUUAUCUUUUCCUCCUGCUUACUUGAUGACCUUAAUCGAACCGCUAUAAAAAUUUGUUUACAGAAUUUAAUGUUUUUGUUUUCAGAAAUUGAUGCUAGUGAUAGUGGAUUAAACACAUCAAAUAGGUGCUUCUAGAUUACAAUCUCUCCACAAGAAGAAGACGAUGAGGAGACAUCUAAAGUUCUGCUGGCUUUAGUUUUUGCUCACACUGAAAAGUACCCAGAUGAGCCACCACUUCUGCACGUGAAAAGUUUAAAAGGAAUAUCGUUAGAGCAUCUCCAGGCGUUAAAACAAAAGCUUGAGGAGGAGGUAAAUCCGUGUAUUUUCUAAAGCUAAUCCUUACCAAAAUUAUAUUGUAAAGAAACAGAUGUUCUUAAUGCCCUUAAUUGUUUCUGAUUGAACUUCUGACCUUCAUGGUUUACUUGAUUAACCUGAAGCCUAGAACCAGUUUCUAUAAAAAAACAAAUGAUUUAGGUUCUCAAUAGCUCGAUCCUGAUAAUUUUUUUCUAUUAUUUCUCUUUUCUUUUCAUAUUUGCUGAAGCUGAUUUUGUUUAUUUAUAAUGUCGUAUUAUGUGAUAAAUCGAUUUGAUCAUGCUUAUAUAUCCUAAUUAGAUGUUAGGACACUUAUGCUUACAUUGUUCUCCUAUAUUUUGUGAGUGUAACUUAUUAGGAAAAAUAUUGCUUCAUGUGCGUCUUAGUAAAACUAUAAUUGACAUGAAUGUUCCAACUAUUUAAAAUACUCCAGCUGAAAUAAAUAUAUAUUUGCAUCAUCAGUCUUUUACUGUGUUCAUCUUCUAUCAAAAACAACUGCAGUUAAAAAUGUUUGACCCACUUUUGUGUUAUUUUAGGCAUCCGAAAAUCUUGGCAUGGCUAUGAAUCUGAACUGUUGUGUGUCACAUACCAAGUAGUAGCUCUAUAUAGGGUGUGGAUAUUCUUGCUAUUUCAUUUCUGUAUGAUCUACAAUGUUGAGAGCCUGUGACCUCUCUGUAUGUUCAGUUGUUUAUGCUUGUACAUUUCAUAAAUUUGGUAGCCUUGUAGAUUUUCUGGUUUGUUUCAUGUAGUAUGGGUUGGGCAUUAUGAACUUAAAGCGAGGGAUUAUGAAGAACGUGAUGAAGAAUUCUUGGCAACUAGUGUUUGGGAAGUAUCUGCAAGCUUUGAGUAAGUUACUAUGUAGUGUAUGAGCUGAACUUAAGUAAAAAUGAUUUGGAACUUUAUGUAUUCCCUUGGAGUCUGAUACUUCACAAAAUAUAAUUUGGUACUUAUAGAAUUUGAGUUCUUUUUUGAUAUGAA